UAGAUUAGCACAACUUACAAUUUCGCUUUAAUUAACACACGGGGCAAGUUCUAGACUAUACAUGAUAGCACAGAAAAUCACAAAUCCUCACACACACGUUGCACAUGACUCAAUCAAGAUGGUUCUGUUAAACUUUCAAGUCAAGCAAGCACACAUAAUUGAGAACUUUAAGCAACCUUGCACUAUGUGGCAUACAAGUCAAACAACUGAGAAAAGGCGUCACAAAAUAGGUUAUUUACUUUACUUAGGCUUCACAAUUCACCAAGUACAUGGAGAAGCAAAAUGUACGUCAUAGCCUAAUGUGCAAGCAUCAAUCAUGUCAAUGAGUAUCUCAGAACGACUCAGUUUCUUCCUAAACUACUCCUAAAAAGAAAUUAAA
rnacentral:lncRNA from 1 species